rfam:Helianthus annuus linkage group 2, whole genome shotgun sequence.
CGCGGGGUAGAGCAGUUUGGUAGCUCUCAAGGCUCAUAACCUUGAGGUCACGGGUUCAAAUCCUGUCUCCGCAA